AUUGAACGCUGGCGGCAUGCUUUACACAUGCAAGUCGAACGGUAACAGGCCGCAAGGUGCUGACGAGUGGCGAACGGGUGAGUAAUGCAUCGGAACGUGCCCAGUCGUGGGGGAUAACUACUCGAAAGAGUAGCUAAUACCGCAUACGAUCUAUGGAUGAAAGCGGGGGACCGUAAGGCCUCGCGCGAUUGGAGCGGCCGAUGUCAGAUUAGGUAGUUGGUGGGGUAAAGGCUCACCAAGCCAACGAUCUGUAGCUGGUCUGAGAGGACGACCAGCCACACUGGGACUGAGACACGGCCCAGACUCCUACGGGAGGCAGCAGUGGGGAAUUUUGGACAAUGGGCGCAAGCCUGAUCCAGCAAUGCCACGUGCAGGAAGAAGGCCUUCGGGUUGUAAACUGCUUUUGUACGGAACGAACCGGCUCUGGUUAAUACCCGGGGCUAAUGACGGUACCGUAAGAAUAAGCACCGGCUAACUACGUG
rnacentral:rRNA from 1 species